rnacentral:rRNA from 1 species
AGGGAAAGAGGGAGGCAGGCCUAACACAUGCAAGUCGAGCGGAAGAACGGUACGUGCUCGUGGUUACAGCGGGGGACGGGCGGGUAGGUCCUGAGAAUCUCGGAAGCUGCUUGUUAGGAGGGCCGGACGUGGGCGCAAAUACGCCAAACGUGCUUAUGACGUAAGUGUGGGAGCUGCGGAUCUCACGCCCUUGGGUGAGCCUAGGUGGCGAUGUCGGAUUAGCUAGUUGGAGGGGUAAAGGCCCACCAAGGCGACGAUCCGUAGCUGGUCUGAGAGGAUGAUCAGCCACACUGGAACUGAGACACGGUCCAGACUCCUACGGGAGGCAGCAGUGGGGAAUAUUGGACAAUGGGCGCAAGCCUGAUCCAGCCAUGCCGCGUGGGUGAAGAAGGCCUUCGGGUUGUAAAGCCCUUUUGUUGGGAAAGAAAAGCAGCAGGUUAAUACCCCGCUGUUCUGACGGUACCCAAAGAAUAAGCACCGGCUAACUUCGUG